AGAAAUCAAUUGCCUGAUUGAAGUCAGCCUUGCUGUUAACUAAAGAUCAAGCCAGAUGGCGCAGGUCACUAAAGAUGACUGGUUCUGCCCCUGCUGGGAACAGUUCUUGGGCCAGCUGCUCUAAGUCCCCCGCCAGCUUUCCACAAAUGUCUGACCAUCUUGUCACCCUCUUCCUGCAGACAUGAUCAGACACAUUCCCUUCCCCUGAGCCUGUCUGUAGGGAACUGUGCAGUGCCAGCAGAGUUCUGGAAGGAUGAAGUGCUGAGUCUCUGUUGGGUACAGACACAUCCAGUUACUGGCAGGACAGAGUAGUGCUGUGGGCAUUUAAUCAAGAUUCUGUUAGGCAGGGAGGUGUGCUGAGGCUGGAGUUCAGCAGGGAAUGAGAGCAAUUGCUUAUAUUUCCUGAGGAGCUACGAUGGCCAGCUCAGCACUAAGUGCUUCAUAUACAUUACUUCAUUUAAUUCCCACAACAUUCCAGUGAGGCUGGUGGGUACUAGUACUGCUACUGUCCCUUUUCACAGAGAAGGAAACUGAGGUUCCAGGUCAUAAAGAAGUUGCUUAAGCAUACAGCUAAGAGCAGGAGAGCCAGGAUGUUAGCCAGUUGGUCUGAUUCCAGAGUAAGGUCUUCAGGUCUUGGAAUCAGAGUUGGUCUGAUUCCGAGGUUGGUCUGUCUGCAAAGACAUCAAGGAGUUCACAGUGCAGUGGGAGAGAGAGACAAGCCAGCUGGGAUUAUAUGAAAUGAUAUGAGGAUAUGAUAUGGUAAUGUGAUAUGAUAUAUUAUAUGAUCUGGUAUAAUGAUAUAUGAUGAUAUGAUAUGGUAUGAUGAUAUGAUAAUAUGAUAUGGUAAGAUAUAUAUGGCCUGUGAUGAGGCUGUGGAAACAGGGAAAUAACACUGGAUGGAGUCUUGUGGGGGCAGGGAGAUCAUGAAAGCAUUUCCAAAGUUGGAGUUCUAGCUGUGUGUCCCCACAGCACCCUAUGAUGGUUAAUGUUAUGUUAACUUGACUGGGCCAUGGGAUGCCCAGAUAUUUGGUCAAUGUUAUUCUGGGUAUUUCUGUGAGGAUGAUUUUGGACAAGGUUAACAUCUAAAUUAAGAGACUGAGGACAGCUGAUUGCCCUCCCCAAUGCAGGUGGGCCUCGCCCAAUCAGCUGAAGGCCUGAAGAGAACAGAAGGCUGAACCUCCUGUAUUUAUAUCAGCCAGAGUCCCAGCAGGAAGAUGGCAUCUUCCACAAGAUAAGUGGGCCAAGUUUAAAGAUGAGAUGAUCUACACAGGUCUGGGCAGGGCUAUGGGGUUCCCCAGGGGUGGAGGUGCCCCAGGGAGGGGAGUAGCACUAGCACUAAGCCUGAGAGUGCAGCCUGUGCAGUCACCUGUCAGUGCUCAGAGAGUCCCCGUGCUUCGUUUAACCCUCUGCUGUCACAUUCUUGAAAUCUCGAAUACUUUUUGAACAAGGGUUUUUGCAUUUCAUUUUGGCCUUGGGCCCUGCAAAUAAUGUAGCCCAUCUGCUUCGACCUCCUCCAAGUCUGAAGAGACAAAGGGAGGAAGGAAUGACAUUGGUUGGAGCCCAGCUAUGGGAAGGGCUGUUUAAUAGGGUCUGUUGUCUGAGGCCAGGCGCAGUGGCUCAUGCCUGUAAUCCCAGCACUUUGGGAGGCUGAGGCGGGAGGAUCACCGAGGUCAGGAGUUCGAGACCAGCCUGGCCAAGAUGGCGAAACCCCAUCUCUACUGAAAAUACAAAAAUUAGCCAGGUAUUGUCAUGCAUGCCUGUAAUCUCAGCUAUGUGGGAGGCUGAGGCAGGAGAAUCGCUCAAACCUGGGAGAUAGAGAUUGCAGUGAGCCGAGAUGGCACUGCUGCACGCCAGCCUGGGCAACAGAGCAAUACUCUGUCUAAAACAAAAACAAAAAACAGGGUCUGUGGCCCAAUACAGCAGCUACCAUCAUAACUGAGGCUUCCUAUGGAGGAAGAGGGUAUAAAUUCCCUGGCUCUUUCUCCUCCACCCUCAUGAAUCCUGCCAGUGCCUCCCACUGGCUGAAACGCACGAGAGCCUGUAAAUUCCCCAGGCACAGAACGAGGAUGUGAACUGCAGGUAGAAGACCUGGAGGGGGAAGGGAGACUAACGGCACACAUGUAUGCAAAGAAUCAAACGAUCUGCCCUUCCGCAGCCUGCAGGCUCCUACCUGUAUGGCACCUUCCUGCUCAGCCUCUAGAAACCACACCAUCCUCCAGGACCAUCCCAACAUCUUUGCUGCCCAUCCAGCUUGUUCACCUCCUCUGAGCCACUUGUAUAGCAUAUCUGAUCUGACUCCAUAUAUUUAUGCAUUUAAAACUGUAUAAAUAAUUUUAAAAAUUUAAAGGACAUACUUGAGGACCAUCUGAGAUACGGAAAUGAGAAGCACAGUCCCUGCUGGGGUAAACAGCUGCCCACAGUUGGUUCACACUCUUGGCUGGUCCCCUUCUAAGUGAGUCUAGCCUUAGCCAUGUGACUUGUUUGGCCAAUGGGACAACAGCAAAUGUAACACAAGUAGAGGGUUGAAACGUGCGUGCACAUCGAGUCCUGCCCUGUCUUGCUGCUGAAAACUGCUGCCACCACGUGAACAAGACUGGGUUGAUCACAUGAAGGAUAAGAGGUCCUAAUUAUCCCAGCAAUCCACACCAUGCCCGCUGAGGCCCCAGAAGCCCAAGGGAGGCCACAGAGACCAUCCAGCACUACACAGCUGGCCCAGACCAGAAAAUCCUCCCUCAAGGAACUUAAAGAAUAGUCCUGAACCUGCAGGAGACAGAUGUGUGGGCCAACAGUGACAGAGAGCACAGCAGUUACUUUGUCAGAGGCUUGUGUGGGUCAAGUGUGCAGAGCAGGGGAGCGUGGAGGGGGCCUGUGGGGACAGGAAGGACUGACAGAGGCCACCACAUAGGAGCUGAGACCUGCAGAAGGAGCAGACGCUGGCAAGUGUACCAGCAGCAGGAGGAUGCUCCCAGUGUUGGAGGACCCCAGAUGCAGGUAGACAUGAGGCAGACCUUGGCAUCUGAGGGCUCUGCAGGAAUCGUGUGCUGCUAAGGGGAACCUAUGAGAUGGGCUCACCCUGAAACAGAGAUGCUUCCUGCAGCCUGGCGCGGAAACUCAAGGGAAAGAUUGGCCAACUGAUUGUUCUCUUAAAUAUUCGGUUUGACUUUCCAGGUUUUUAUUACUUUUUAUUACCCACAUUUGGUGCGAGGGCAAAUCUGUUUAUAGACACCAUCGGCAGGGCCUUUGUGAGCAAGUCUGGGACUCUGCGAAAAAAUUCUUUGGGAGCCAGCAAGGGCAUAUGUGUAUGAUAUAGACCACCCAGGCACCCACCAGACCCCCAAGUUAUUUGUACUUUCAUCCUUCCACCCUGCUGGGCAAUUUAAAGUGAUUCGAGAUGAGACUUAAGGUUGUUAGUUAUUCAGCUGGUCUUGAAACCACCUUUGCAAAGAUUAUGACAGUAAGAAAAGUCUAGGUGGCUGACUCCAUCUUGCUUCUAGCCUCACAGGCUAGCUGUCCUUGCUCAUUCCUGGGCAUAGGCCAAGCUAACCACAGGAUGAAUUUAGUUUAUAAUUUAGCUUUGAAGCAAGAAUGAUAAUAGUUCCUUCCUAAAAUAGAUCCCCUCCUGGCUCAGAGACUGACACUGCCUUUGUAAAACUAAUGAAAGGCCAUGAAAUUAGGAUUAUGGGAGGGGCCGAAUUCUGCUAAAAUGUAGCUAUAAUUCCUAGCUGCUCAAGAGUCAUGUGGCCACAGAUCACAAGACUAGUGACUUCCCCCAAUAGCUCCCUAGUAAUGUCACUAUUGUGGAGCCUAAGAUUGGUCUUUUGAAAUGUUUUUCAGACUUUUGCAUUCUGGUGAUCAACAGACUCCACCCAGACCCAUGACUCAUGACUCAGUCAGUUCUGUGGCCCCACCCAGAGGUGGACUCAUUGCACAAGGGCCCUUUUCCACACCCUUAUGAUUUCAUCUCCGACCAAUCAGCAGCACCCAUUCCCUAGUCCCCUGCCCAUGAGACUGUCCAUAAAAGCCUAGCCUCUGAGUUCUUGGGAGACUGAUGUGAAUAAUAAACUCUCAAAUACUGCUUGGCUAGCCUUGAGAUAAUUAAACUCUCUACUGCAAUACUGCUGUCUCGCAAAAAGGAUCCAUGGGUAUCUAUAUUCUCUCUCUCUCUUACAUUCUCUCUGUCUCUCUCUCUCUAUUUUUGCAGUUCCCAGGGAACACUGGAAAAUGCAGUUUGUAGGGAAACAUCUUUCUUUCCAGCUCUUUUGAUGCCAAUAGCAACAAAGAGGCCACAUGACAUGCUCUGUGCUUCUUGGAGCAGAGCCCAGGGUCUAGUGGUUAACAGGGACAACUAAACUGUACUCUUCGGCCAUCAUAUCCAGGAUGCCACAUACCAUGCCUGGAAAAAAGUCCUCACUCAUGCUUAUUCUUGCUGUCACUCUCAUCUCUCUUGACCCCUUCUAUGACAGUUCAACACAAUUCACACUUUGUUAUUGUGUGAAAGAAAAAAAAAUUUUUUUUCCUCAUGAAGAUCUUGAAGAGAGCUGUUUCUGAGCGAUCAACCUGACUGUUGCAAGAAGGCAUGUGUUGACAUGUUGAUAUGACUGUGCUUUUCUUUCUUUUCAUUGUGAUUUGCUUAGUGGGGCAGCAGACAGAGAGGUGGGGCAGAGAUCCCUGUGAUCCUCAGAGGGACUGUGAAGGGCUGGGACUGCUGCCUUAGACCAAGUUUUCUUGUCAAUUGCAAUGUCUGCGUCAAAAUUUUUCUCCAAAUGAUGGUGGAGAUCCAGCACCUCAGCAGCGAGAAUUUGCCACGUGAAACAUAAACCAAAUUAUGCAAAACCCAUAAGACAUGUGAGCCAUCUGGGGGAUAAGGAUGUCUUCCCAACCAAGACUGGAAAUUCAGAAGCUAAAAUGAAAAAAAGUAGACUUAUUUCUAAAAUUUAAAAUAAAUACGAAAUUUUUAUGGCAAAAUGCAACAUAAAGUCAUCAAGCAGGACAUUUGGGGGAAAAUGAUAAUGCAGAGGACAAAGAUAUUACAUUUACACAAAGAGAUUUUAUAAAUCAACAAGGAGAAAAGUAUGAAUAAUUAUAGCAUUUGUGAACUUAUUAGCAACCUAGUAAAUAUUUUUAAAAAGAUUAUACCCUAUGACUUAACAUUCCAGGAUAUGUGUAUGAGGAUAUUUGCUAAGCUUUAUUCAAUAUGGCAAAGCAAAACAAAACAAAACAAAAAAUCUUGAAGCAUUUACUGAGCACAUUCUGCAUGGCAGAAACUGUGUUAAGUCCUCAUUCAACUGUUUGAACAGCACAAUGAGUCGGCCAUUAGACACAGCCCCUUAUUAGGAUGAGAAACUCUAGACUCAGAGAAGGCAAGCAAUUCAGUCAAGAUUAUACAAAGAAGCUACAUGGCAGUAAAUGCCAGAUAUGAAAAAAGAUGAAGCUAAAAAUGAAAAAAAAAGAAUAACAUCAAGAAAUGUAAAAGACAGAACUAAAACUUAAAGCUAAGGCCAGGAACGGUGGCCCACACCUGUCUUCCCAGCACGUUGGGAGGUUGAGGUAGGCAGAUCGUUUGAGCCCAGGAGUUUGAGACCAGCCUGGGCAACAUGGUGAAACCCUGUCUCUACAAAAAAUACAAAAAUUAGGGCUGGGCGCCAUGGCUCAUGCCUGUAAUCCCAGCACUUUGGGAGGCUGAAAGGUCAGGAGAUCGAGACCAUCCUGGCUAACAUGGUGAAAC
rnacentral:lncRNA from 10 species